rnacentral:rRNA from 1 species
GAUGAACGCUGGCGGCGUGCCUAAUACAUGCAAGUCGAGCGAACAGACGAGGAGCUUGCUCCUCUGACGUUAGCGGCGGACGGGUGAGUAACACGUGGAUAACCUACCUAUAAGACUGGGAUAACUUCGGGAAACCGGAGCUAAUACCGGAUAAUAUAUUGAACCGCAUGGUUCAAUAGUGAAAGACGGUUUUGCUGUCACUUAUAGAUGGAUCCGCGCCGCAUUAGCUAGUUGGUAAGGUAACGGCUUACCAAGGCAACGAUGCGUAGCCGACCUGAGAGAGUGAUCGGCCACACUGGAACUGAGACACGGUCCAGACUCCUACGGGAGGCAGCAGUAGGGAAUCUUCCGCAAUGGGCGAAAGCCUGACGGAGCAACGCCGCGGGAGUGAUGAAGGUCUUCGGAUCGUAAAACUCUGUUAUUAGGGAAGAACAAAUGUGUAAGUAACUAUGCACGUCUUGACGGUACCUAAUCAGAAAGCCACGGCUAACUACGU